AUCUGGUCGUCUGUCGAGGUCUCCCCCCGCUCCCACCGGACGCCACUUCCCCGGCGUCCGGCGGACUGAGCGGGGCGGGACCUGGGCGUACGACCUGACCGGC
rfam:Frankia sp. Cc1.17 contig_13, whole genome shotgun sequence.